CCUACGGGUGGCAGCAGUGAGGAAUAUUGGUCAAUGGACGAGAGUCUGAACCAGCCAAGUAGCGUGAAGGAUGACUGCCCUAUGGGUUGUAAACUUCUUUUAUAAAGGAAUAAAACGAGGCACGUGUGCCUUUUUGCAUGUACUUUAUGAAUAAGGAUCGGCUAACUCCGUGCCAGCAGCCGCGGUAAUACGGAGGGUCCGAGCGUUAUCCGGAUUUAUUGGGUUUAAAGGGAGCGUAGAUGGGUUGUUAAGUCAGGUGGGAAAGUUUGCGGCUCAACCGUAAAAUUGCAAUUGAUACUGGCAGUCUUGAGUACAGUUGAGGUAGGCGGAAUUCGUGGUGUAGCGGUGAAAUGCUUAGAUAUCACGAAGAACCCCGAUUGCGAUGGCAGCUUACUGAACUGUGACUGACAUUGAUGCUCGAAAGUGUGGGUAUCAAACAGGAUUAGAUACCCGUGUAGUC
rnacentral:rRNA from 1 species